GCUGGCACUCCUGGAACAGGAUCCAGACCAGGCGCCACUGCAUUGCCACCAGGCCAAGCAACUGGGAGUGUGACAGGCACCAGUGGUCCAGCUGUUGGCACAACUGUUGCACCUGGCAGUUCCAACACAGAAGCCACAACUUCCACAGGAGGCAGUAAGGCUACACAGGGAAGAUUGCCAGGAGGUA